rfam:Arcticibacter svalbardensis MN12-7 contig00018, whole genome shotgun sequence.
AGUUUUGUAGUGUAAUGGCUACCACGUCAGAUUCUGGUUCUGAAGAUCUAGGUUCGAGCCCUAGCAAGACUG